UUGGGCUCUCGUUGAUUUCGAAAUAUUUUGAAAUUCCUUUUGGGUUGGUUAGCCGUUGAUUUCCAAAUGAAGAUGGGUAAGAUUGGUGGAGUUCAAACUCUUUUUGAAUUGUUCCAAUUUAUCCUCUUUUCCCCCUAAAUCGCAGAGGCUUUUUUAUGCAGGUCACGAGCUCUUUGUCCUUCUAUUGCACCAUCUUGCUUAUGCUCCUUUUGUGGACCGAAAAUUCAAAGCGAAAAUGAGGAGAAAAUAACCAGCAGGUCACCCCAUUUUCGUUUUCUAUGUUCUAUGUUUGAUUCGGAGUGGGUUGAAGCUCUGAACUGCAACUGAUUGGUUUAAUUAUUUCGUGCAGGCGUCACUGGCAACAACAUCUCUUCGAUUUGGUUUGUUGAUGUGUCCUUCAGGUAAUGAGCUUCAUUGGGUUGUAAAAAAAAACCUCUUUUUGUGUACUAGUAGAUGAUAAACCCAAUUUGAUGUUGGUAGCUUCCGUAGUCUAAAUUCAUUUAACUUUUCGCUUAUCAUGAGCAACUUUCAGUACCAUUUUGACUUGGCUCAAUCACCAGGCUCUAAGCCAGCCACAUGUGGUGUGUUCCCUGUUGGGAGGCUGCCCAUUAGCCCCCAAACAAAGCUUCAGGCUCAUUGUUGGAGGUGGUGAAAAUAUAUUCUACUCUAUUUUCCAUCAGUGGUUUCAUUCAUGAUCAUUGUCAUCUCGAAUAUCCAAAAACAGGGCAUUGAGUUUGAAAAAAUCGUAACCCAACUCAGUAGGCUAGCUGCUGUGUGCAAGGCAAGGCCCUAAAAGGCUU
rnacentral:lncRNA from 1 species